rnacentral:lncRNA from 1 species
UGGAAAAAUAAUGCCCGAACCACUGCAGGUUUGGGGCAGGCCGAUUCAUUGUUUUUUCCUGUCGACCACAUGAUACAACGGGAAAUGUGAAUUGCCCAGAGUCCCAUAGCUUCAAUCCAUGGUUUCUCCUCCCUACCAGAAAUCCUUCUGCUUUUUGGAGUCGUAGUCCAAAGUGUUAUUUUUUUUUAAGGUAGCCAAAGAAAAAUCUCUAAUCCUUUUCAAGCUUCGUUUACAGGAGGUUUUUGUGGUUAAAAGCAGGGGUGGACCCCAUAUGGGCUGCGCCUAUGGCCUCUUGCCGGCACAGAUGAUGGAAAUGGGAGCCGACCCACCUCUGGAAGGCCGCUGGUUGCCCACCUUGGCGUAAAAAGGAGGGCACCGCCAUGACCUGUGCCCCCAAAGCGAUGUGCCUUUUAGUGGCCGUGCUGAGAUGGAGCCUCCCUUUCAAAAGCCAUUCUAUCUGCCUCCUGGGAUGUCGGAGGCGUCCGGCAGGAGGCGAGAACGAAAUCCGGUUCCUGGCAGUUUUGUAAACCCUGGAUGGAAAGGAUGAUUGACGGGGUUCAUCAUAGGGGGCUGCAGGAAUAUGCCAGUUGCCAGUCGUACGCGUUCAUGAAAGGCGUGGGCACCUUCGUUAUAGGCAGCGGCUUAGCCUUCGUCGUUCAGGGCUUCAAUCGGAAGUGGCGUUACUCCCUCCAGUGGAAUGUCCUCUUCUCCACAGGUUAGUAGCUGAACAAAAUGCCUUGUGGGGGGGAAACCCAGGGGUCAUCCAACCCACCCCUUCAGCAAGGCAGGGGAAUCCACCCCAGCGCCGACUGGGAAGAUCUUGAGGCCGGAGUGGUGGUGGUCACCUGCCUCAUAUUUCGUUAGGAUGUCUUUUCUUGUCUUUCGACCCUCUCGAUGGCGUUUCACGUUAUAAUUAGAGGGGUGCGUUUUGUACGCUGUGCGGUAUCUGAAAGUAAAAAAUAUCUACUUUUAAUAUCACGAUCGAUGAUGGCGGCUGAGCAGCUGCUUUUAUUGUGGGUUAAAAGGC